GAUGAACGCUGGCGGCGUGCCUAAUACAUGCAAGUAGAACGCUGAAGGAGGAGCUUGCUCUUCUGGAUGAGUUGCGAACGGGUGAGUAACGCGUAGGUAACCUGCCUGGUAGCGGGGGAUAACUAUUGGAAACGAUAGCUAAUACCGCAUGACAACAGUUAUUGCAUGAUAACUGUUUAAAAGGGGCAACUGCUCCACUACCAGAUGGACCUGCGUUGUAUUAGCUAGUUGGUGAGGUAACGGCUCACCAAGGCGACGAUACAUAGCCGACCUGAGAGGGUGAUCGGCCACACUGGGACCGAGACACGGCCCAGACUCCUACGGGAGGCAGCAGUAGGGAAUCUUCGGCAAUGGACGGAAGUCUGACCGAGCAACGCCGCGUGAGUGAAGAAGGUUUUCGGAUCGUAAAGCUCUGUUGUAAGAGAAGAACGAGUGUGAGAGUGGAAAGUUCACACUGUGACGGUAGCUUACCAGAAAGGGACGGCUAACUACGUG
rnacentral:rRNA from 1 species